UAAGGAAUAUUGCGCAAUGGGGGAAACCCUGACGCAGCAACGCCGCGUGGAGGAUGACACUUUUCGGAGCGUAAACUCCUUUUAUCAGGAAAGAAUAAUGACGGUACCUGAUGAAUAAGCACCGGCUAACUCCGUGCCAGCAGCCGCGGUAAUACGGGGGGUGCAAGCGUUACUCGGAAUCACUGGGCGCAAAGGACGCGUAGGCGGAUUAUCAAGUCUUUUGUGAAAUCUAGUGGCUUAACCACUAAACUGCUUAGGAAACUGAUAGUCUAGAGUAGGGGAGAGGUAGAUGGAAUUAUUGGUGUAGGGGUAAAAUCCGUAGAGAUCAAGAAGAAUACCCAUUGCGAAAGCGAUCUGCUGGAACCUAACUGACGCUGAGGCGUGAAAGCGUGGGUAGCAAACAGG
rnacentral:rRNA from 1 species